GACGAACGCUGGCGGCGUGCUUAACACAUGCACGUCGAACGGAAAGGCCCUGCUUUUGUGGGGUGCUCGAGUGGCGAACGGGUGAGUAACACGUGAGUAACCUGCCCUUGACUUUGGGAUAACUUCAGGAAACUGGGGCUAAUACCGGAUAGGAGCUCCUGCUGCAUGGUGGGGGUUGGAAAGUUUCGGCGGUUGGGGAUGGACUCGCGGCUUAUCAGCUUGUUGGUGGGGUAGUGGCUUACCAAGGCUUUGACGGGUAGCCGGCCUGAGAGGGUGACCGGCCACAUUGGGACUGAGAUACGGCCCAGACUCCUACGGGAGGCAGCAGUGGGGAAUAUUGCACAAUGGGCGGAAGCCUGAUGCAGCAACGCCGCGUGCGGGAUGACGGCCUUCGGGUUGUAAACCGCUUUCGCCUGUGACGAAGCGUGAGUGACGGUAAUGGGUAAAGAAGCACCGGCUAACUACGUGCCAGCAGCCGCGGUGAUACGUAGGGUGCGAGCGUUGUCCGGAUUUAUUGGGCGUAAAGGGCUCGUAGGUGGUUGAUCGCGUCGGAAGUGUAAUCUUGGGGCUUAACCCUGAGCGUGCUUUCGAUACGGGUUGACUUGAGGAAGGUAGGGGAGAAUGGAAUUCCUGGUGGAGCGGUGGAAUGCGCAGAUAUCAGGAGGAACACCAGUGGCGAAGGCGGUUCUCUGGGCCUUUCCUGACGCUGAGGAGCGAGAGCGUGGGGAGCGAACAGGCUUAGAUACCCUGGUAGUCCACGCUGUAAACGGUGGGUACUAGGUGUGGGGUCCAUUCCACGGGUUCCGUGCCGUAGCUAACGCUUUAAGUACCCCGCCUGGGGAGUACGGCCGCAAGGCUAAAACUCAAAGGAAUUGACGGGGCCCCGCACAAGCGGCGGAGCAUGCGGAUUAAUUCGAUGCAACGCGUAGAACCUUACCUGGGUUUGACAUGGAUCGGGAGCGCUCAGAGAUGGGUGUGCCUCUUUUGGGGUCGGUUCACAGGUGGUGCAUGGCUGUCGUCAGCUCGUGUCGUGAGAUGUUGGGUUAAGUCCCGCAACGAGCGCAACCCUUGUUCACUGUUGCCAGCACGUUAUGGUGGGGACUCAGUGGAGACCGCCGGGGUCAACUCGGAGGAAGGUGGGGAUGACGUCAAGUCAUCAUGCCCCUUAUGUCCAGGGCUUCACGCAUGCUACAAUGGCUGGUACAGAGAGUGGCGAGCCUGUGAGGGUGAGCGAAUCUCGGAAAGCCGGUCUCAGUUCGGAUUGGGGUCUGCAACUCGACCUCAUGAAGUCGGAGUCGUUAGUAAUCGCAGAUCAGCAACGCUGCGGUGAAUACGUUCCCGGGGCU
rnacentral:rRNA from 1 species